rnacentral:siRNA from 1 species
GCAGGAGAGAUAGCGCCA